CCAAGCCCAGGAAUAGAACGAGGCGUCGCGGCAGGGGUUGACUGCGGCCCACGUGAGCGAGGCGAGGGGCGGCCGAGACGGUCGAUAGUGGCGCUGUCGUCGUUGUCCGCGAGGUAGAGGGUCGCGACGCCGGUCGCAGGGAGGACGGGGGCACCGGCGGCUGGUGAACUCGGAGGCUGCGGCUGUGCGACGACGUCCGUGGUGGUGGCGACAGCUACGACGACGCGACCACGAUGCAGCAGGGGAUGGAGGCUUCCUCGCCUGGGCUCGGGCGCGUCAGCACGGCGUCGGGCCGUUGCCGGUGGCGUCGAGGCCGGCGCACGCACGGACAGGGCGCCCAAGGGUGAGCCGCCGCGACGUGUGGGCGGGCUGAGCCGGGCGUUCAACCACGAUGCGGCGGGGAUGAAAGCCGCCUUGCCGGGGCUUGCGGGGCAGCACGGCGUCGGGCCGUUGAGCAGAUCUUCUCCAUCCACGAGUCCAACUUCCUGUUUGGCGCGCAGGCGCUGGAGCCGGCAGGGGCGUGCUCUGCGGGGCACGCUCGCCGCGGCCGUGCUGGUCAGGCUCGAGCGCUGACUGCGGGAGCUGUCCGGGAACCCCGAGGCCCGCGUAGUGGACUACUUCAAGCAGGGUCCGGCGCCGGAUGGUUCCUGGCGGCUGCGUUGUUCGCGCGCCGGAUGCCGACGGAGGCGGCGUGCGACGUCGUGGCCAAGAACCGCAAGGUGUUCUCCGGGCGCCACGGCCGCGGUGGGUUCUUCUCCGGGGCCGAUGCAGGUUUUGUAAUUGCUUGAAGUUGUCCAGUUCAGAUGUCCAUACACUUCAAUGAAAUACCCUCAGCUGCUUUCCAAUCUGAGAGUUGAAUCGAAGGUGUGCAUUUGAACCCGUGAAAUUAUUAUUUUGUUUUUUCGUAUCUCAUCAGUUUUUUGAUUCUUAGAUUGAAGAGAUCCUACGGAAUUCUACAACAUCUGAAUUUGGUAGUGUAUAUUAUUUUUCGGAGAGAGGUGAUUGAAUGAUUGAUCUUGAUGUGUUCCAUCAAAAGCUUAUCUAGGUUGCUUGUUCAGUCUUGUUCAUAUUGGGUUUGAGAUUAUUAUGUUCUUCAAGUUGCUUCUCUUGAUGUUUAGAUGUCUCAAGAACUGCGCACACAAUUGAGCGAGUCUGAGAAAGGAGAGCUAAAAGAAUCGUUCCAUCAUAUGCUGAAAUGGGCCUGGAGAUAUAAUAAAUAUCUUGAAGAACAGGCAGCCCAGCUUCACAUGUUAACUAGCUGGUCGAAAACUGUUGAAGUGAGUUGUGUGUGUGCAUGACCACUUAAUCUUUUCUGUUGGGAAUUUCAUAUUGUAACCCGCUUAUUGUUAAUUUCAGGUAGAUGUAUCAAGAAGUAAUAAUUUUAAGACAUUGAAGUUCAGAACCUCUAUUGAAACUCUUUCGUAGUAUUAUAUGAACUUCUGUAUUUGAACUCUUUCAUAGACGUUUAUACUGAGGUUGCUCUUCUAUAGACAUUUAUAGAGGUUGCUCUUUUAUAGACAUUUCGAAGCAAGCCGCUAAGCCCAAGUCUCGAAUCAGGAUUGUCGUUGUUCGUCAGUCCCAAGUAUUUGAAUUCUUCCGUAUCUCUGCUCUUGAUUACAUAUGGUGCGAGAUUCUAAUUUCUUGGACUAUAGUGCAGCUAGGAGAUUGUGGCGGCAGCGGUGGGUUUUGGGUCGGUGAGCUGCAGGGAUUUGCUGGACGCACGCCAUCACAUGUCGAGCCACACAUAGUGACCGAUGGUGGCGGAUUAGAGUUGGAAUUCAAGAGGUUUGUGUGGUUUCAGUUAUCCGAUGAUUGGGCGAGAGCGGAGCAACAGAGGCCGGCCAAGAACAUGACCAGGGAUAACACAUCUUGCUUGAUUUCCCGAGCGACCCAAGGUUGGUUGCAUCCUGCAUGACCUCAUAUUGUUCAUGAGAGUUUUGUGAUGUUCUUUUUUUAGAGAAGUUUUGUGAUCUUAAUUCAUGAGACAUUUGACGUGAUACUAUGUGGCUGUAAACGUAAUCUGCAAUUCAGAGCAAACAGAGUGAACAAACCAAGGACAUGCAGGUUAGUCCGUUAGUGUCUUACUUUUCUUUUUGUAAUUCUAUCGUACUGUAUAGUUAGUACAAAAUCAUCAAAUAUUCAGGAUAUGUUUAUAAUUUUGUGAAACUGAAAUGUGCAACAUGUUCAGUGGACUGGUGAAUUAUAAUUUUGUGAAACUGAAAUGUGUUACUGAAACCUGACUGGUGAUGAACUAACCGAUUCACACAAAGGCUUGCUGAUAACAACUUGAGUUGGCCGAGUCUCGCCGAGUUGAGCGUGGAGUAGAAGGUGUCGAGUGAACUUGAGUCAGUGUCAUUCGCUGUAAUGAUCGCCCGGGCGGCCGUGUAGCUGUCUUAGAUGGAGUCCAGGGGGAAAGACCAAGAGGAGGUGCGAUAAGAUUGAGCUUUCCAGAAUUUUGGGGAGGUGGCGCUUGUCGCACUGCAAAACUUUUAUUUGUAUAUGUUGCAUGCUACUACCUCCUAAUCAAUAUGUCAUUGAAAUGAA